GUGGAUCCCUCAACAACUAGAUUGUGAGUUGUAUAUAGAGACUCCAUAGUUGUAUGACUCUCAACAAUUGAAAGAAUCAAACUGCUAACAACUGGCAGAAGUUCCUAGACUGAAAGUUUUAACUGAUGUAUAUGGAGUCUUUAUUGCAUAUAAAUUCGUAGAUUAACUGCCAAAAUAAACAAAUAGCAAAAUCAAUAAUUUGAAUUCCUAAAUAUUCUAAUAUAGUUUUAAUAUUUCUCUGUUUCAGGCUUGGAAGCACUGGUCUACUCUGUAUUGUUCAAACCUU
rnacentral:misc_RNA from 1 species